rnacentral:rRNA from 1 species
GAUGAACGCUGGCUACGGGCUUAACACAUGCAAGUCGAGGGGAAACGACGGGGAAGCUUGCUUCCCCGGGCGUCGACCGGCGCACGGGUGAGUAACGCGUAUCCAACCUGCCUCUGACUGAGGGAUAACCCGUCGAAAGUCGGCCUAAUACCUCAUGGUAUCGUCUGCGGGCAUCCAACGACGAUUAAAGAUUUCAUCGGUCAGGGAUGGGGAUGCGUCUGAUUAGAUUGUUGGCGGGGUAACGGCCCACCAAGGCUACGAUCAGUAGGGGUUCUGAGAGGAAGGUCCCCCACAUUGGAACUGAGACACGGUCCAAACUCCUACGGGAGGCAGCAGUGAGGAAUAUUGGGCAAUGGGCGAGAGCCUGAACCAGCCAAGUAGCGUGCAGGAAGACGGCCCUAUGGGUUGUAAACUGCUUUUAUGCGGGGAUAAAGUGAGGGACGGGUCCCUCAUUGCAGGUACCGCAUGAAUAAGGACCGGCUAAUUCCGUG